rnacentral:lncRNA from 1 species
CUUUCAUGUCAGAUCUAGCUUGGAUCCUGUGAGUCCUCUGCCUGAGUUCAUGAUGUCCUCAGCAGUAGGGACUUUACCUUCACCUACUGCAGGGUAACCAAGGGCCUACAGUGAUAACUUUGAAUCUUAACAAAGGCAAGAAAGAUGUUUAAGGAAUAUAGCAUUGCUCCGUGGGAACUGCCAAGAAUAAAAAAUACAUCAAUGAAAUAUUGCAUUUUAACUGCACUUCAGACCAAAGUGACCUAAGAGACAUUUAUAGAACAUUCCAGCUCACAGCAGCACAUUCCUCACAAGUGUUCAUGGAACAUUCUCCAAGAAGGAUCCUAUGGAAGACCACAAACCCACCCUUAACAAACAUCGAAAGACUCAAACCAAAUCAAGUGUCUUCUCUCUCAUCAAAAGGAUAUGGCACUGUAAAUCACAAAAGAAAUGUAGAGGAUUCACAAAUCCAUGGAGAUUAAGCAUUCAGCUGGAUAAUGGUCAUUACACUCUUCAGAGAUCGGCUAAAUAUGGCACUUGAAGUGUUAAAUAGAAAAGGCUUUCUGUGAAAGACAGGGAUGCCAGCUCCUAGACCACCCUCAGUGCAAGAAGACAACAGAUGAUGGAGUACAGAUGAUUCUACUGGGACUGUGGUAACGCUAACCACUGGACAAGACUGUCCCAUGCCUCACCCACUGACAGGACCCUGCCCAAGCAGUGGACAAGCAGGACACUGGAGAGUUGAUUGACCUACUUUGCCUAAACAAGACCUACAGGGACAAAAAUGGAGAAGAGCCUGAAGAAAGGAGAUCCAGUGGCAGGUUCAAAUUGGGAUCCAUCUCAAGAGGAGGCUCCAAGACUUGACACUGUUACUGAGGCUGUGGUGUGCUUACAGACAGGAGCCUAACAUGGCGGCCUCCUAAGAGUCCCAGCAAGCAGCUGACUGAGACAGAUGCAGAUACUUACACCCAACCAAUGGACAGAAGCUGGGAUCCCCUGUUGUUGAAUUGGGGAAAGCUGGAAGAAGUCAAGGAAGAGGGUGAACCCAUAGGAAGACCAGCAGUCUCAACUAACCCAGACCCCUAAGGUUUCUCAGAUACUGAGCCACCAAUGAGGCAGCAUACACCAGCUGAUAUGAGGCCCCCACCAUAUAGACAGCAGAAAACUGCCUGGUCCUCUCAGUGAGAGAAGAUACACCUAACCCUGGAGAGACUUGAGGCCUUAGGGAAUGGGGAGGUCUGGUGUAGUGAGGAAUGGGAGUGGGGGUGUGAGUGGGGACAUCCUCUUGGAAAUGGGGCAGGAGAUAGGGUCAGGAGAAAUGUGAUGAGCUACUAUCAGAGGGUGGUCUGGGAGGGGGAAUAAAGACUGGACUAUUAAAAAAAGAUUAAAAAGUAAUAAUAGUAAAGAAAAAUGUGUAAAUGUGAGCUGUAAAGGUCUAAGAAAUUGAA